UACAGAGGGUGCGAGCGUUGUCCGGAAUCACUGGGCGUAAAGGGCGCGUAGGCGGCCUGGUAAGCGUGCGGUGAAAGCCCGGGGCUCAACCCCGGGUCGGCCGUGCGAACUGCGAGGCUGGAGCACUGUAGAGGCAGGUGGAAUUCCGGGUGUAGCGGUGGAAUGCGUAGAGAUCCGGAAGAACACCGGUGGCGAAGGCGGCCUGCUGGGCAGUGGCUGACGCUGAGGGCGCGACAGCGUGGGGAGGCAAACAGG
rnacentral:rRNA from 1 species